AUACCAGCUGGCUGCAACUGUUUAUUAAAAACACAGCACUGUGCAAACACGAAAGUGGACGUAUACGGUGUGACGCCUGCCCGGUGCCGGAAGGUUAAUUGAUGGGGUCAGCGCAAGCGAAGCUCCUGAUCGAAGCCCCGGUAAACGGCGGCCGUAACUAUAACGGUCCUAAGGUAGCGAAAUUCCUUGUCGGGUAAGUUCCGACCUGCACGAAUGGCGUAAUGAUGGCCAGGCUGUCUCCACCCGGGACUCAGUGAAAUUGAACUCGCUGUGAAGAUGCAGUGUACCCGCGGCAAGACGGAAAGACCCCGUGAACCUUUACUAUAGCUUGACACUGAACACUGGUCCUUGAUGUGCAGGAUAGGUGGGAGGCUUUGAAGUGUGGACGCCAGUCUGCAUGGAGCCAUCCUUGAAAUACCACCCUUUAAUGGCUGGUGUUCUAACGUGGACCCGUAAUCCGGGUUGCGGACAGUGUCUGGUGGGUAGUUUGACUGGGGCGGUCUCCUCCUAAAGAGUAACGGAGGAGCACGAAGGUUGGCUAAUCCUGGUCGGACAUCAGGAGGUUAGUGCAAUGGCAUAAGCCAGCUUGACUGCGAGCGUGACGGCGCGAGCAGGUGCGAAAGCAGGUCAUAGUGAUCCGGUGGUUCUGAAUGGAAGGGCCAUCGCUCAACGGAUAAAAGGUACUCCGGGGAUAACAGGCUGAUACCGCCCAAGAGUUCAUAUCGACGGCGGUGUUUGGCACCUCGAUGUCGGCUCAUCACAUCCUGGGGCUGAAGUAGGUCCCAAGGGUAUGGCUGUUCGCCAUUUAAAGUGGUACGCGAGCUGGGUUUAGAACGUCGUGAGACAGUUCGGUCCCUAUCUGCCGUGGGCGCUGGAAGAUUGAGGGGGGCUGCUCCUAGUACGAGAGGACCGGAGUGGACGCAUCACUGGUGUUCGGGUUGUCAUGCCAAUGGCACUGCCCGGUAGCUACAUGCGGAAGAGAUAAGUGCUGAAAGCAUCUAAGCACGAAACUUGCCCCGAGAUGAAUCUUCCCUGAGCCUUUAAGGCUCCUGAAGGAACGUUGAAGACGACGACGUUGAUAGGCCGGGUGUGUAAGCGCAGCGAUGCGUUGAGCUAACCGGUACUAAUGAACCGUGAGGCUUAACCUU
rnacentral:rRNA from 1 species